UAAGCCUUCCCGGGGGGGACCCCCACUGGCUCCGAGGCUGCGGAAGCUGGGAGACGCCAGCCUUGUGACAAGAGAGUCACUCCUCCCGAUCUCUGCUGCAGGGUCUACCGCAAGCCAGAGUGACAGUUCUACUCAGACGCUUUUACAAAGGCUUCCUGCAAAUGUGUUUCGUCUUCAGAAAAAUUUAUGGAAAGGAAUCUAACAAGUACUCUAAAAUACAAGUUUCUGAUAAUUUUCAAAUCAGACCGCUGAACUGGAACACAACUGGAAACUGGUUAUGUUACCAAGGCUUGGGUGCAACGCCACAGUGGAGAGAAAUACGCACAGAUUCAGAUACAACCAGACAGCUUCAAGGAACUACGUUGACUUUAUGGAGCCAAUAAAGCCUUUUAGGGAGAAAAAGGCUGGAACCUUACUCACAGAGUUCCCAGCAGCUUCAUCAGGCCUAACUGGGAGCUCAUCUGCACCACCACCUCCUGAGAUGAUUUUAACUAGACUGACCUACUGUCAGGGCUAAGAGACUGGUUCAACGAGAUGGAACACUCUACAAACUCAACUUCCGGACCGUGAAACUUCUCUGGAAAUAUUUCAAAGCUGAAACUAUCGGGAAACAAAAUCUGUCAUCCCCGAACGUGUCUCUUUGGCAUGAGGAUUCUUUUAGGCGGACUGAUUUUAAGAAACAGAAGAUUCAGCAAGUUUUCUUUUUAUCUCUUCUUUAGCUGCCUAAAGAAUUUAGAUAAAGAGCCUGGUCCAAGAAGAUGAGGAUCUCACCAGAGAGGCCUGCAGAGAUGUGGGUGAGGCAAGUGGGGGCUGGGCAGGGCCUGAGGUCAGUCCACUCUGUGUCCCUCCGUGUCUGCCCAGCCCAGCAGACUGCUGUUCACCCAACAUCUGCUUUUCCGUCUACAUGUCAAAUGCACGUCUUCCCUUUGAAGUCCCAAAACCCUACCCCCAACAUCCUCUUUUGUCUUUAGCUGAAGAGGGCAUUUAAGAUGACAGCUUGGGCCAUUUUGGCGACUGACUCUGUUUUCCUGGGUCUCUCCUAUGUACACGUUAUUAAACUUCUG